CCCAGACUUCUCUCCGUGUGUGUGGGGGGGGGGGGGGGUUGAAUACCGCUGACCCAGGAGUCCUGCCUACCUCGUGGUGACCUCGGGCGCACCCAUAGUCUUGAGUUUUGGGGUGCCAGGCCUCGAUUCCUGCCCUUUUUUCCUGGAUGUCCAGGCUCGGCGUUUCCACCUGGGGACGCCCACUUGGGGAAACGACAAGGGGGCCUGAGUCAGCGGCCGUCAUCCAGGAAAACACGGAAGUCACCGGCCAGGCAGUGGUGUUCGGGCCAGCUGUUGCAUCCCCUAAGGGUGACCUCAGAAGCCAUUUCUUAAGUGAUUAACUAGAAGCUAGCGUGUGUAGGGGCCAGCCAGUCGCCCCCAGCAGGCUCACUCACUCCGGGCCCGCAGGUGUGGGGCUAUUGUCCUCACCAAAGGAAUUCAUGCACACAGCCACCCCUGCCUUUGGGUUGGGCCUGACCCACUCAGCCAGCAUCUUUCUUCCUGAGUGGGGGCCUCCUAGGAUGACCUUGGCUGGGGCAGGGUGGAGGGGGACCCAGGUCCUCUUCCACUACCUCCAGCCCAGUUAUCUGCUUUCUUCCUUUAUCUGGCCAGAGACCUCCAUCGCCAUCCCAGAGCUAUUCCUUUCCGGGUCUACUCCCACUCCCACCCUGAAGCUCCAUGCAGGCUCUGGCCCCCCAACCUACACCAGGUGCACCCAGACUCUCCUGUCCAGUAGGGCCAGGGGUAGGCCAGAGGACCUGGGGAGGAGGUCCCAGGGGAUGGUGUUUGAGGGGUGACUCAGCUUGCCACACCAAGAACAGUGCUCCAGGAAGUGAAAACGGACUGGCCCCAGAGAGCUGUAGCAGCUCAAGGAAGGAGGCUGAACCGAAGGCAGGUGUCCCUGGGCUGGGGAGGGCCCUACCACCUGGACUCUGACCUCAGGUGACCAGAAGUGGAACCCUACUUUUGGUGAGCAUGGUCACUCUGGGAGUGGUUGCCCCUGGAGAGAUGCUUGCUAUCUAAACAAUAAAAGGU
rnacentral:lncRNA from 1 species